AGUUUUCUUCACAUACAUACGUCGGAUCUUUAAGAACAUCUAUAACCACGCCGAGCAGAUUUCUCAGCGAUGAUUGUUAGAGGUUUUCGAGGAGACUGCAAUGCUCACAAAAUUUUCUUGUCGGCCGGUCCAUCUAUGCCAAUGCCAAACAUUAUUUCUUUCUCUUGCCUUGUUGGUCUUAUAGGUGCUACCACUUUGUCCAAAUACAUUUUUGUUUGAUAAUUGUACUGCUGCUAUUCUGGCUUCAUACUUUGGUAAUCUAUUCAAGUUUUGAUGCCCGUUAGUCGCCUUUUA